GGGGGCGUAAUGGUUUCGACGGGGGAAGUGGGUACAAAGGUAGCGAGCCGGGGUCCCACCAGCCCGGAAGACGGUGGAAAACAAAAUAAACGCCAACGAAGAACUCGCUCUGGCUGCUUAAAUCUAGCGGCCACGUCCUCCCUCUACUUUCCUGCGGUAGGGGAUAGGGCGUCACCGAAGCAGGAUACCUCGGUUCCGGUGCCUCCCGGAGCCGAUGGGAAACCCGAGAGGCUGGCCUGAAGGGGAUCCUGCCUGUAGGAGCCUCUCAGGUGAGAAUCAAAAUACAGGCUGCGCUCGGAGAAACCUUUGUGGCCAUUCUUCCGGACCGGGGUUCGAUUCCCCGCGCCUCCACCA
rnacentral:tmRNA from 2 species